GCCCGGCUGGCUCAAUGGUUAGAGCAUCUGACUUCUAAUCAGAAGGUUGCGAGUUCGAGUCUCGCGUUGGGUU